CCUACGGGAGGCAGCAGUGGGGAAUAUUGGACAAUGGGGGCAACCCUGAUCCAGCCAUGCCGCGUGUGUGAAGAAGGCCCUCGGGUUGUAAAGCACUUUCAGUGAGGAAGAACGCCUGGUGGUUAAUACCCAGCAGGAAAGACAUCACUCACAGAAGAAGCACCGGCUAACUCCGUGCCAGCAGCCGCGGUAAUACGGAGGGUGCGAGCGUUAAUCGGAAUUACUGGGCGUAAAGCGCGCGUAGGUGGCUUGAUAAGCCGGUUGUGAAAGCCCCGGGCUCAACCUGGGAACGGCAUCCGGAACUGGCAAGCUAGAGUGCAGGAGAGGAAGGUAGAAUUCCCGGUGUAGCGGUGAAAUGCGUAGAGAUCGGGAGGAAUACCAGUGGCGAAGGCGGCUUUCUGGACUGACACUGACACUGAGGUGCGAAAGCGUGGGUAGCAAACAGGAUUAGAUACCCCUGUAGUC
rnacentral:rRNA from 1 species